UGCACUGGAAGACUCCAUCAUCUUGCAGAGUGCCAGGCAGCAGAGUAACUACUCCUCAACCUGGAGAAAACUGUCUAGCACCAGACUAUGGGGCAGGACAGCAACACCCUUCACCACCUCAACUCCCAACACC